UACGUAGGCAGCAAGCGUUGUUCGGAGUUACUGGGCGUAAAGGGUGUGUAGGCGGUUCUUUAAGUUGGUGUGAAAUCUCCCGGCUCAACUGGGAGGGUGCGCCGAAUACUGAGGGACUAGAGUACGGGAGAGGAAAGUGGAAUUCCUGGUGUAGCGGUGAAAUGCGUAGAUAUCAGGAGGAACACCGGUGGCGAAGGCGGCAUCCUGGACCGACACUGACGCUGAGGCGCGAAAGCUAGGGUAGCAAACGGG
rnacentral:rRNA from 1 species